AUCGGCCCGGUUCUACAGAUAUGGGCAGAGUGACAGCCGGUAAGCCCUCUCACCACGUCAAGGUGGGUGCACUCGAGAGGGCCGGGUCCUCCGAGACAAAACUGAUCCGAACAAUUUAAUAUUUUCCAGGAAUAGAUGUCGGUGAAAAAAGCGUAAUAUUGGAUAACAGUGGCCUUUGGCGAUUGUAAUAAAUCAGCUGUAGUACUAAUCCUGUCGAGAUUAAUGAAAUGUAGAGCGAGAACAAAUACUUCUUCAAAUGACAAAGAUGUCGAUUCAAAAAAAUAUUCCAUUUGUGACAGAUUUAGAAGCGCGACAUUUCGAGCAUCUAAAAUGGUGCGUUUCUUUAUGCAGCGGCUGUAUAGCGCUCUACUGCUAAUCGUUUCUAAAUUAAGCGCUGCACUGCGACGAACCGUUUCUAAAAUCUUCGCUGCAAGAUGUCGCUACAGCGGAUGUAAAGCACGUUUUUACCUGGCUUGACGAGUAAAGCAAAAUGGCGGAAAAUUGUACGAAUGAAAUACACUUUUUAUGUGGAGAUUAAAAAAAUAUUAAUAUAAAAAGUAAUAUACAUUAGUGCUUAGAACUUAAC
rnacentral:lncRNA from 1 species